CCUACGGGAGGCAGCAGUGAGGAAUAUUGGUCAAUGGACGAGAGUCUGAACCAGCCACGUCGCGUGAAGGAAGACUGCCCUAUGGGUUGUAAACUUCUUUUAUAUGGGAAUAAAACAGGGUAUGCAUACCCUCUUGUAUGUACCAUAUGAAUAAGGAUCGGCUAACUCCGUGCCAGCAGCCGCGGUAAAACGGAGGGUCCGAGCGUUAUCCGGAUUUCUUGGGGUUAAAGGGAGCGUAGGUGGAUUGUUAAUGCAGUUGUGAAAGUUUGCGGGUCAACCGUACAAUUGCAGUUGAAACUGGCAGUCUUGAGUACAGUAGAGGUGAGCGGAAUUCGUGGUGUAGCGGUGAAAUGCUUAGAUAUCACGAAGAACUCCGAUUGCGAAGGCAGCUCACUGGACUGCAACUGACACUGAUGCUCGAAAGUGUGGGUAUCAAACAGGAUUAGAUACCCUUGUAGUC
rnacentral:rRNA from 1 species